GACGAACCGUGCGAACGUUAUUCGGAAUCACUGGGCUUAAAGCGCGCGUAGGCGGGCCGGCACGUCGGAUGCUGAAAGCCCCCGGCUCAACCGGGGAAGUGGCACCGAUACGACCGGCCUGGAGUGGGGUAGGGGGAGCCGGAACUUCCGGUGGAGCGGUGAAAUGCGUUGAGAUCGGAAGGAACGCCCGUGGCGAAAGCGGGCUCCUGGACCCCGACUGACGCUGAGGCGCGAAAGCCAGGGGAGCAAACGGG
rnacentral:rRNA from 1 species